AUUGAACGCUGGCGGCAGGCCUAACACAUGCAAGUCGAGCGGAGCGGCGGACGGGUGAGUAAUGUCUGGGAAACUGCCUGCUGGAGGGGGAUAACUACUGGAAACGGUAGCUAAUACCGAAUACUAUCAGAUGAGCCUAGGUCUGAUUAGCUAGUUGGUGUGGUAAAGGCCUACCAAGGCGACGAUCCGUAACUGGUCUGAGAGGAUGAUCAGUCACACUGGAACUGAGACACGGUCCAGACUCCUACGGGAGGAAGCAGUGGGGAAUAUUGGACAAUGGGCGAAAGCCGGAUCCAGCCAUGCCUCGUGUGUGAAGAAGGUCUUCGGAUUGUAAAGCACUUUAAGUUGGGAGGCGUUACCAACAGAAGAAGCACCGGCUAACUUCGUGCCAGCCGCCGCGGUAAUAC
rnacentral:rRNA from 1 species